CCUACGGGAGGCAGCAGUGAGGAAUAUUGGUCAAUGGACGAGAGUCUGAACCAGCCAAGUAGCGUGAAGGAUGACUGCCCUAUGGGUUGUAAACUUCUUUUAUAAAGGAAUAAAACGAGGCACGUGUGCCUUUUUGCAUGUACUUUAUGAAUAAGGAUCGGCUAACUCCGUGCCAGCAGCCGCGGUAAUACGGAGGAUCCGAGCGUUAUCCGGAUUUAUUGGGUUUAAAGGGAGCGUAGAUGGGUUGUUAAGUCAGUGGUUAAAGUUUGCGGCUCAACCGUAAAAUUGCAAUUGAUACUGGCAGUCUUGAGUACAGUUGAGGUAGGCGGAAUUCGUGGUGUAGCGGUGAAAUGCUUAGAUAUCACGAAGAACCCCGAUUGCGAAGGCAGCUUACUAAACUGUGACUGACAUUGAUGCUCGAAAGUGUGGGUAUCAAACAGGAUUAGAUACCCGGGUAGUC
rnacentral:rRNA from 1 species